AGAUAAGACAUGGCAAAAGAAGAAGUGGAAGAAGGAGGAAUCAAGAGGCAAGAAACAAGGAUGGGGAUGCCUUUCAGGAUAGCUUGGCUUGAGUUGGAGAAGAUAUUCGCAAUGCGUGUAACAGGCAACAGAGUCGGAUCUAAGACAUAUGAAGAAUCCAUUCAAGGGAAGCAACAAGGCUGAUGCCCUGGACAGAAGGAUUCACAGAAUGGAGAAAGAUCUAGAAAUCUUUUUUGCUAACAGAAGCCAUCAACACAAAUGUGACACCCGAGAACAGCUUACAACUGAUCUGAAGAUCAAAUGAGUUAGCUUUUGCAAAGCACAAAGCAGAUAAGGAAACGGAGGAAAAGAGAUGUUAAGAUCAACGUGUCCUCAGGCUGGCCCAGUGGCACAGCAG
rnacentral:lncRNA from 1 species